UACGGGGGGGGGCAAGCGUUGUUCGGAAUUACUGGGCGUAAAGGGCUCGUAGGUGGCCAACUAAGUCAGACGUGAAAUCCCUCGGCUUAACCGGGGAACUGCGUCUGAUACUGGAUGGCUUGAGUUCGGGAGAGGGAUGCGGAAUUCCAGGUGUAGCGGUGAAAUGCGUAGAUAUCAGGAGGAACACCGAUGGCGAAGGCAGGUCUCUGGGCCGAUACUGACGCUGAGGAGCGAAAGCGUGGGGAGCGAACAGG
rnacentral:rRNA from 1 species